UACGUAGGGUGCGAGCGUUGUCCGGAAUUAUUGGGCGUAAAGAGCUUGUAGGCGGUUUGUCGCGUCUGCUGUGAAAAUCCGGGGCUCAACCCCGGACUUGCAGUGGGUACGGGCAGACUAGAGUGUGGUAGGGGAGACUGGAAUUCCUGGUGUAGCGGUGGAAUGCGCAGAUAUCAGGAGGAACACCGGUGGCGAAGGCGGGAUCCUGGGCCAGUACUGACGCUGAGGAGCGAAAGCGUGGGGAGCAAACAGG
rnacentral:rRNA from 1 species